rnacentral:sRNA from 1 species
AUCUGACCAGGCCGGCCUGUGAUCGGGAAGCGGCCGCGCGGGUGCACGGCCGAUUGAUCGU